rnacentral:rRNA from 1 species
UACAGAGGGGGCAAGCGUUGUUCGGAAUUACUGGGCGUAAAGGGCGCGUAGGCGGUCAGCACAAGUCAGUUGUGAAAUCUCCGGGCUUAACUCGGAACGGUCAACUGAUACUGUGCGACUAGAGUGCAGAAGGGGCAACUGGAAUUCUCGGUGUAGCGGUGAAAUGCGUAGAUAUCGAGAGGAACACCUGCGGCGAAGGCGGGUUGCUGGGCUGACACUGACGCUGAGGCGCGAAAGCCAGGGGAGCGAACGGG